rnacentral:rRNA from 1 species
GACGAACGCUGGCGGCGUGCCUAAUACAUGCAAGUCGAGCGGAUCUGAUGAAGUGCUUGCACUUCUGAUGGUUAGCGGCGGACGGGUGAGUAACACGCAGGCAACCUGCCUGCAAGCCCGGGAUAACAUUCGGAAACGAAUGCUAAGACCGGAUACGCAGCUUGGUCGCAUGACUGAGCUGGGAAAGACGGAGCAAUCUGUCGCUUGUAGAUGGGCCUGCGGCGCAUUAGCUAGUUGGUGAGGUAACGGCCCACCAAGGCGACGAUGCGUAGCCGACCUGAGAGGGUGAACGGCCACACUGGGACUGAGACACGGCCCAGACUCCUGCGGGAGGCAGCAGUAGGGAAUCUUCCGCAAUGGACGCAAGUCUGAUGGAGCAACGCCGCGUGAGUGAGGAAGGCCUUCGGGUCGUAAAGCUCUGUUGCCAGGGAAGAACGCCUAGGAGAGUAACUGCUCUUAGGGUGACGGUACCUGAGAAGAAAGCCCCGGCUAACUACGUGCCAGCAGCCGCGGUAAUAC